CCUUCGAUAGCUCAGUUGGUAGAGCGGUGGACUGUAGUUAUUGAAUGCAAAAUGAGACAUAGGUCGCUGGUUCAAAUCCGGCUCGAAGGA
rnacentral:tRNA from 1 species